AGGUUCAGUUUUUGACAAAAGAGCUACUAUGAUGGAGAUCACAAACUCUUUGUUUUCUUCUGUCCCCUUUGUCCUGCAGAUCUCCCUGAACAACACAGUUGUAAAAUGGAGGAUGUUCUGGCUGACCAGCAGCUCUGUAACCAGAAGAAGAACUCCACUCUGGACCAGGAGGAACCAGAACCUCCACAGAUUAAAGAGGAGCAGCAGGAACUCUGCAUCAAUUCUGAAGGAGUGCAGCUAACUACUGCUGCUGCUGCUGAAAUAUUGAGAGUGUGUGUACAAACUAUUGUCCAGUACAAGAAAGAGAUAGACCGUCAGCGCAAGCUGCUGGAUACCAUCCUGAACCCUGUGAUAAAGUUACACAGAAUAGAGCUCCCUCAACAGCACAGUUGUAAAGUGGAGGAUGUUCUGGCUGACCAGCAGCUCUGUAACCAGAAGAAGAACUCCACUCUGGACCAGGAGGAACCAGAACCUCCACAGGUUAAAGAGGAACAGCAGGAACUCCUCUGCAUCAAUCAUGACAGUGAGCAGCAUGUACUGAGUGAGGAGACUGAUCCCUCUAUAAUAACUGCUACUUAUAAUGGACCAGAACCAAACUAUGACAUGGUUCCCUCUCACAAGGCUCUUCAAGUUCUCCCUCAACAACAUGACUGUAAGGAGGAAGAGAUCCUGUCUGACCAGCAGCUCUGUUACCAGGAAAAAACCUUCAAUCUGGACCACUUUAAACCGAGUGUCACCCAAUACAAAGAAGAGAUCGACCAUCAGAGCCCAGUGCUGAAGGUUAUCCUGAAACCUGAGAUAAAGUUAAACAGAACAGGUAUGUGGAACUACAAACAAGCAGUGAAUCCUGUGACUCGUGUAGGAUCCUAAUCAGAAAAAAUCUAAAUAACCCAAAGCAGCAAUAAAAGUGUUUCUUUUCUUCA
rnacentral:lncRNA from 1 species